rnacentral:misc_RNA from 1 species
CGAGCGCAUGAGAUGUGUUGGACCUGUGACUGUCGGGAGGCCCCCCGCCCUUGUGCGGCCGACUCUCGGCGCCUGUGUCCUUUCAGUUGUGUGGGCAUAUGCCUACGCCCCUGACGAGUGCUUGCGUGCUGCUACCCGUUCAUCGGGAAGUUGCAUUCGCUACAUGUUGCCUUUGUUGCGUGCACCUUUCGGGUGUGGCGCUUCAGCUAUGUAGCACGAGUGGCGUUGCCUCGUGGUACCGGCCUCAUAGGCYUGUGCCACCAAGGCUACCUCGCUUGUGCGAUCGGUCUCGGAUGACGCUGACGGUAUAGGACGAUGCUGCUUCGGCGCCUCGUUCCUUUCAAACUCGGUCCCUUCGAAACAACGACAGUUGGCCCGGCUGAAGCUUCGUGCGGAAGCCGACGUUGGCUUGUCGAGGAGGACGUGCUACCUGGUUGAUCCUGCCAGUA